GCACAGACCUUUGGUGGGGCAGGGUCAGCAGGGUUGGCACAGACCUUUGGUGGGGCAGGGUCAGCAGGGUUGGCACAGACCUUUGGUGGGGCAGGGUCAGCAGGGUUGGCACAGACCUUUGGUGGGGCAGGGUCAGCAGGGUUGGCACAGACCUUUGGUGGGGCAGGGUCAGCAGGGUUGG